rnacentral:rRNA from 1 species
GAUGAACGCUGGCGGCGUGCCUAAUACAUGCAAGUCGAGCGAACAGACGAUGAGCUUGCUCCUCUGACGUUAGCGGCGGACGGGUGAGUAACACGUGGAUAACCUACCUAUAAGACUGGGAUAACUUCGGGAAACCGGAGCUAAUACCGGAUAAUAUGUUGAAUCGCAUGGUUCAACAGUGAAAGACGGUCUUGCUGUCACUUAUAGAUGGAUCCGCGCCGCAUUAGCUAGUUGGUAAGGUAACGGCUUACCAAGGCAACGAUGCGUAGCCGACCUGAGAGGGUGAUCGGCCACACUGGAACUGAGACACGGUCCAGACUCCUACGGGAGGCAGCAGUAGGGAAUCUUCCGCAAAGGGCGAAAGCCUGACGGAGCAACGCCGCGUGAGUGAAGAAGGUCUUCGGAUCGUAAAACUCUGUUAUUAGGGAAGAACAAAUGUGUAAGUAACUAUGCACGUCUUGACGGUACCUAAUCAGAAAGCCACGGCCAACUACGUG